GAGGGAGUGAAACCCUAGGUAUUCGCAUCGCACGAACGACCCGAUCCCCUCUCCCUUAGCCGCCAUCUGUUUUCUUCCCUCGGCACGCGCGUUCAUCCCUCCUCCCUCUCCUCCGCCGCCAUUGUUCCCUCUAGUGCUCUCACCCGCUACCACUCCUUGUUGCAGCUGUGCCAGGGGAUAACCACGGUCGCGCUGCCGGCAGGAGCACGAUAUCCGCGGCGUUAUACCGCUGCCUCCUGUCGGAGGAAGCAACAGGAGAGACAGGAUAUAAGAGGGGGAGAGAAGAAAGGAGAGGGGGAGAAAGAGAGAUGAAAGAGGAGAGGGAAGUGUGGCGGCUGACGGGAGAGGGUCACCGACCGGCGUUGUCAGCCUACGCCGGUGAGGUCGGAUGCAACCUGGCGGUUGGCGGCGGCUCGAUCCGCUCCUGGAUCGGGAGCUGCGAGGAGGCUGGUGCUUGGGCGCGAGGCACGGGAGUCUGCACUCCACCUCAUCCUCGUUGUGCGGAUGGCAGCAUCAGCAGGUGGGAGACGGACAGUGGCAUCAGCUAGAGGCCUCAGCAGGUGGCCGAUGACACCAACAGCUGGUGCUAUACCCAUGGAUUCCGGCACAGCUCGAAACACUCAGGACGAAUUAAUCCAGGGUGGAGUAGCAGAUGCGUGUAGGUUUACCUAGAGCUUGAGUAGAUACACAUUAAUCCAGGGUGGAGUAGCAGAUGUGUGCAGGUUUACCUAGGGCUUGAGUAUAUACACACAUUCGGUUCAUACUUAAUGUACACCUAAAGGCGUUUCAACCUUUUCCAGGCAUGCUACAUGAAAGGUACGAACAUACAACAUGAGCUGCCAUGGAAGAUGUAUUUCCAUCUAGCUCCUUUACUGGUUUGUAUCAAGUGAUGAAGAUGAUAUACCUUUAUUUGAUUGACACGAGUACUGACCAGUGUUGGAUUUCAGCUUUAUAAACUUGGCUUUUUAGUGGUUAAUUUUGCUACAUCGCGUGCUUAUUUUCCAUGCUUCUGUAUUCGGAAGACUGAAUAAAAGGAACAUGAUGAAAUACAAGUAGCCAAGUGCGUGGAAAUUGGCCUUCCAGAACUCAUCCUAAUGGUCGCGUUUUCUCAGGUAUUGUUUAAAUGGUCAUGAAUGAGGUGAUGUUGUACUUAUCAUGUUUGUUUCCUGGACAAUAUUUGCAUCAUGUUUUUCAUUCUAGAAAGGGUGUCUUUCGCCGGUUUUCUAUUCUUUUCACUGUUUCAAUCGUGUGACUCUACACAUGUAUCCUCACAAUUAGUGGAACCUAAAAGAAUGAAGCGGCGGCUCGAUCUGAGCUGCUAUAUCUGAUUGUAUUUUAGUAAGACCCUGCAAUUUUAUCGACCAUGUAAAUUGAUUGCUUGAGGAAUGUGAGAUUGUGUCCUUAGUUUGUACAUCCAUGUUCUUGCACAGUCUUCAGAUUUCGGUCUUCUAUGCAUGUCUUCUCGAUUUUUCGAAAGCGAGACAUUUAUUUAUGCAGGUUUCUCCAUGCCAUCGGCAGCAGCCGUAAGCAUAGGGGCAGCGGUCAUGGUCGCCCGAGGAGCACAACUUCAUGGGGGCUGGUCCUGCUGCCGCCAAAGCAUAGUGGAGGAGGUCGAUGCAGGGUUGAGGAGGGGCAUGGGCUAAGAGUGGUGGAAGAAAGGAAGGAUGAUGUUUUGGGUGUGUACACAUGUAUAGCACUAGCAUUUUCAGAUGAUUGUGAAGCUUAUGGAAGAGGCAUAUCUGAAUGCUUGUUUUGUGCCUUUCUCGCUCUAAACAUGGUAACCCCUAUUCUUACAUACAAGAAGGUGCUCUUGAUUACUUCUUGGAAAAUGAUCGAUUGAUUAUUUUCUUAUGACACAUAUUAUAGUUUACAUGGAACUAAAAAGAACAUUGGUUUUCUGAGAAAAUAAGAUUAGGGAAGUCACACAUGUUGUUUAAAUCAAGUAAGGUAGCAUAUAUGUAGCUUUACUUGCUAUUUUUUCAUUCCUAGAGGUAAAGCAGAAACCUGAUACCAUGUACAGCUGUGCAAGUGUCUUGCCUGAUGGUCUUCAAAAAUUUCUUAUAGACAAAUGGCUAGACUGAAUUUUUCAACAUAAUAAGUACUUGUUUCCUACAGUUGGUAGCAUAUAUAUAGCUUACGGAGAUCUCAUGUAAUAGACAUCUAAGUUGAAACUUCGGGAUCAUCUUAUAGCCUCAUGUUCACUUCUCACCUUUUCAUUUCGUCUCAUUCCAUUAUCGAAGCGUAAGUUCAGUUUCAUUUGCUCAAGUUCAAGCUGUGGUGUACCUCUGUAUGGGUAUACUAUUGAGAGGGUUUAGAUCACAGAACUAAACAAGUUGUGGGUCAGUGGAUAACCAAAUGCCACUGACCAUACAACUCUUUGCCACUCGGAUACUAGUAGCAAAUCACAAUGAGCAGGGAGGAAACAACACUGGUUUUUAGUAGAUAUAUGUCUCUGAUUUACUUGCAAUGUUGUUCCUUACAAAACUGUUCUGGCAAUCCUGAAAUGAUUUCUCAAAAUAUGGGAAAAUUUACAUUCUAAAAACUGUAUGCACAUAGAGUGAAGCAUAUAUAUAAUGCUACUAUAACAUAGGCCAUGUGUCUAUAGGGUGGGUCUAUUCUGAUAUCACCCCUUAAGAGCUUAUUCUGCUAACAGUAAAUCUUAUUCUGCUAACACCCCGUGCCCCGAACCGAACCAACAGGCUGAUGCUACUAAACCGCAUUCACCGGGUGAGGAAAAAAAGACGCCACCCACUUAUCCUCCUCGUCCCCACGCGCAUUCGCCAAUCCCUCCCACCUUCUUCCUCCCAUACUCGUGCCCGGUUGACCAACUUCCCACAUCGGAGCCCCACCAGAGCAACCCCGCCACCGGCCAUUGUGCCCCAGCCCACCUUGCACUGCCACCGCCCCUCCCGCGUCGCCCAACUCUCCCCUAUGCUGGAUCCAUGGUGGCCACGGCCCUCCCGCGCCGCCCAACUCUCCCCUACGCCAGAUCCAUGGCGGCCAAGGCCCUCCCGCACCGCCCAUCCUUUCCAACACCCGAUCCAUGCAGGCCACAAACCCUCCCGCACACUACCGGCGAUGGAUCCGGGCCCUACUGCCAGGCCGCGCAAGGACGACGAUGAAUCGGACCUCCACUGCCACCCCGCGAAUGGCCGGUGACGGAUUUGGGCACCAUCUUCACCCGUCGCGCCGCCCCUCGCCGGUGACAGAGCAAGCGGCUCCACUUCGGUAUAGGCUCUGGCGCCGCCCUUCCCCAACCGAAUCAAGCUGCUACUGCUGCCUCUCAUCUUCUUCGGGCUUGCCUCCCAUGGCCUUCUCACGUGCUUUGUCUCCUCGCUGGCGGCCGCACCCAUCACCUCCCCGUGGCCCCUCUUUGGUUCUCCUCAUGCUCACAAGCCGGCUCAGGCAGCACGCUCCAGCCAUGGUGAGGCUCCCGCGUGUGCCUAUGUAGUGCAUGGUCCCUCGAGGUGCAGUGCGACAGGUGUGCGUGCAGCCCAACUCAAAGCAACAGUGCAGUAAUGGGGAUGGAAGCAAAGGUGGCGGUGCACCGCUGAGCUCAAGGUCGCUGACGGCCUCCCUCUGCCCAUGCGCGUGUGAUGCAGUGUGGAACCAAGGCCAGAUCUUCACCACCCCCCUUCAUCAUAUUCCGGUGAGGUACCGGCCCAUACAUGAUAUGUAGUACUGACAGUGAUGCCGUGCAGUUCGCCGUGCGAAUCCCGUCCAGGUUGGUGUUGUUCAGAAGCAUUUCUACUGCUUUCAGAAGAAAAAAAUGAUGGGUUGUUUUCAAUGCAGUGCAGUUCAGACGCUCAUUGAGGACUUGCAGCUCGCCCGCGAGUGGCUCGUGGUCUGCGCAGCUCGGGUGUGCAGACAACUAUUGGGUCCUCCACCGCUGCAAGUCCUCCACCUGUUGUGCCGUCCUCCACGGUACAGUCCACACAGCCAGAGUAUGCCACAGCCCACAACUCCUGCGGGGGGUAAAAGAGUGUUUAUAGGAUUGGCCACAUGUACUUCCGGCAAGGCGGCAACUCACCCAUGCAAGUUUUUUUCUUCUGUGUCUUUGUACAGCUCGACGGUGUGGCAGUGUGCACCUCUAGUGGUUCUUCUCGUGUGUGUGUGUGUGUGUGUGUGUGUGUGCAGUCCGGCGUUGGUCAUCUAUGUUGCCCUGAUUUGGUCGCUGUCGACUAUGUAUGGCUAUAUAGUGCGGUCAAGCGAUGUGUGCAGUUUAGCCUCGCGAGUGUUGCAGUUUCGUUCACCAUGGUCAUUUGGUUUGUGAUGUUCGCCGGGUCUUGCUAUUUUUUUAUUCUUUUUGAUUGAUGGCUUGUUAUGUAAAACUUGCAAAGUUUGUUUCGUAAUUGUUGGAAAACACAAUAAAGUUCUU